UGCAAGCAGAGGGCAUCCGUUUGUAGGGCUCUCUCUUUGGCACCUUGCUUGACGAGUGCGCUGAAUCUGCUCAAAAUCCGGCCUCACCGAAAUGAACGAUGGGCCCGAGAAAAGCGAGAGGGCCCAAGUAAAUAUUGCCAGUGGGAGAAGAUACCCACGUUCCACAAAAUAAUGAUAUGACAAUGUUGCAAGUGUUCACAUUGACAGACAAGUUUCCUGUUCAAACUGUCUCGGAAAAGAAGGACUCAAAAUCCACCUAUGCAGGAAUCAAACC